GGAGGCUGCUGCUCGCCCGCUCGCCCGCUCGCCCGCCCGCCGCUCCGCGCUUCUCCCUCCGCCUCCCCGGCCCCGCGCACCUACGAGCUCCGGGCCGCGGGCCGAGCUGCCCCGGGCGCUGUCCGGGCCUGCAGAGGGGAUGCCGGCGGGGACCUCGGGCUCGCGCCGGCGUUGCGCAGCAAAGAAAGGCGAGGCGCGGCGUCGGGGCUGCGCGCCCUGGAGCUCCGGGACGCGGCACUUGGGAACCCCCGCGGCGAGCUCCCGCCAUCUCCGCGCGGCCGGAGCGCGCAGCCCGGGGCUGGCCUCGGGUGGAAAGUGCGGGGAAUGGGGCGAGGGGCUCCGGACCCCCCACCGUGGAUUACUUGGUGUGCAUCAGCCGGGCUCAGACGACCCCCACCCCCGCGACCUCGUCUGCGUCCUGGGCUUGCUUCCUUCCACCUGGCAGUCGGGGCGCAUACCUGGCAGUAGGCUGACCCCUGGGACGUUGGUGACAUGGCGCUCAUUAAUCACACGUGACACGGAGGGCCUGCGGAAAGUGUGGGAGAGUCGAGAUGCUGCCCGAGCGCCCGGUCCCUCACAUGGCAGCCUGACACGGGGCCAGUGGAAUCCUGUGAAGUUUCUUGAACACCUACUAGGUGACUGUGCGAGGCAGGCUGCGGGGAUGUCGGCGGGCGCAUUGGUGGUUCUGUUUCUUGGCUGUUGUGAAACCUCUUGGUUUGGUCCCACGUCUGUGAAUCAUUUGCCCUCAGCCUGUGUGUGUGUCUUGUGAUAGGAGCAGAGGGCGUGGAUGCUCCUUGCACGGCACCUGAUUCUUGGCUGGCGCUCCGUGGGCCUUUCAGGAGACCUGAGCAGAAAUAGGUCAGGGUUCUAGCUGCAGGCUCCUCAGAAGGCCUUCUUGGGAGCUUUUGAUUUUUCAUUCACAUUUCAAUCAAGCAAAGAGGUGCUUGAUUUCCUUCUUAUUUUCUCCCUAAUUGUAUGUGUAUGUGUGUUCAUUUUUUUCUCUGGGAAGGAUGAACCUGUAGACCUUUUGUUUUCUUUUUUUUUAUUUUAUUAUUUAAUUAGUUAUUAUUUAUUUAUUUAUUCUGUAGACCUUUUCUAAACUCAGGUUUAUAUCAAUAAACUCAGAUUUAUUGAGAUCUAAUUGACGUCA
rnacentral:lncRNA from 1 species